UCUAGACUGUCUACUCAUAGAAUAAUAAAAUCUAAACUAUAGGUGAAGAUGCCUAUAUAAACUCGNNGGACAAGAAGACCCUAUAGAGCUUAAGUUUAAAUAAUAAAAAUUAUUAUCAAACUUUUAGCUGGGGCAGCUAAGAUACACAUAAUAAUCUUUAAUUAAGAUAGACAAAUCUUUAUAUUGAACCAAUAGUAAUGGGCAUAGAUCAAGUUACCUUAGGGAUAACAGACUAAUUUUUUUCCGGAGUCCAUAUUUAAAAAAAAGAUUGGCACCU
rnacentral:rRNA from 1 species